ACGGGAGGCAGCAGUGGGGGAUAUUGCACAAUGGGGGAAACCCUGAUGCAGCGACGCCGCGUGAGUGAAGAAGUAUUUCGGUACGUAAAGCUCUAUCAGCAGGGAAGAUAAUGACGGUACCUGACUAAGAAGCCCCGGCUAACUACGUGCCAGCAGCCGCGGUAAUACGUAGGGGGCAAGCGUUAUUCGGAUUUACUGGGUGUAAAGGGAGUGUAGGUGGCCUGGCAAGCCAGAUGUGAAAGCCCGCGGCUCAACCGCGGGACUGCAUUUGGAACUGUUAGGCUUGAGUGCAGGAGAGGAAAGUGGAAUUCCUAGUGUAGCGGUGAAAUGCGUAGAGAUUGGGAGGAACACCAGUGGCGAAGGCGACUAACUGGACUGUAACUGACGCUGAGGCGCGAAAGUGUGGGGAGCAAACAGGAUUAGAUACCCUGGUA
rnacentral:rRNA from 1 species